CUACCGGCACCGCGAGGUGCUGGAAUGACUGUGCAGAAGUCAGCAGAGGGCAUAGUAGGUCGCGAGACUGAAGAUC
rnacentral:ncRNA from 1 species